rnacentral:pre_miRNA from 8 species
GAUCUACAGUCGUCUGGCCCGCGGUGCAGUGCUGCAUCUCUGGUCAACUGGGAGUCUGAGAUGAAGCACUGUAGCUCGGGAGGACAACACUGUCAGCUCAUA